AUUGAACGCUGGCGGCAGGCCUAACACAUGCAAGUCGAACGAGUGGCGGACGGGUGAGUAAUGUCUGGGAAACUGCCUGAUGGAGGGGGAUAACUACUGGAAACGGUAGCUAAUACCGCAUACCAUCGGAUGUGCCCAGAUGGGAUUAGCUAGGAGGUGGGGUAAAGGCGCACCUAGGCGACGAUCCCUAGCUGGUCUUAGAGGAUGAUCAGCCACACGGGGAAUGAGACACGGCCCAGACUCCUAAGGGAGGCAGCAGUGGGGAAGAUUGCACAAGGGGCGAAAGCCUGAUGCAGCCAUGCCGCGUGUAUGAAGAAGGCCCUAGGGUUGUAAAGUACUUUCAGUCGGGAGGCGUUACCGACAGAAGAAGCACCGGCUAACUCCGUGCCAGCAGCCGCGGUAAUUC
rnacentral:rRNA from 1 species